rnacentral:rRNA from 1 species
AAAUUGAAGAGUUUGAUCAUGGCUCAGAUUGAACGCUGGCGGCAGGCCUAACACAUGCAAGUCGAACGGUAACAGGAAGCAGCUUGCUGCUUCGCUGACGAGUGGCGGACGGGUGAGUAAUGUCUGGGAAACUGCCUGAUGGAGGGGGAUAACUACUGGAAACGGUGGCUAAUACCGCAUAACGUCGCAAGACCAAAGAGGGGGACCUUCGGGCCUCUUGCCAUCAGAUGUGCCCAGAUGGGAUUAGCUAGUUGGUGAGGUAACGGCUCACCAAGGCGACGAUCCCUAGCUGGUCUGAGAGGAUGACCAGCCACACUGGAACUGAGACACGGUCCAGACUCCUACGGGAGGCAGCAGUGGGGAAUAUUGCACAAUGGGCGCAAGCCUGAUGCAGCCAUGCCGCGUGUAUGAAGAAGGCCUUAGGGUUGUAAAGUACUUUCAGCGG